AACGAACGCUGGCGGCAUGCCUAACACAUGCAAGUCGAACGAGACCUUCGGGUCUAGUGGCGCACGGGUGCGUAACGCGUGGGAACCUGCCCUUAGGUUCGGAAUAACUCCCCGAAAGGGGUGCUAAUACCGGAUAAUGUCUUCGGACCAAAGAUUUAUCGCCUUUGGAUGGGCCCGCGUUGGAUUAGCUAGUUGGUAGGGUAAAAGCCUACCAAGGCGACGAUCCAUAGCUGGUCUGAGAGGAUGAUCAGCCACACUGGGACUGAGACACGGCCCAGACCCCUAGGGGAGGCAGGAGGGGGGAAUAUUGGAAAAUGGGCGAAAGCCUGAUCCAGAAAGGCCGGGUGAGUGAUGAAGGCCUUGGGGUUGUAAAGCUCUUUUACCCGGGAGGAUAAUGAAAGUACCGGGAGAAAAAGCUCCGGCUAACUCCGU
rnacentral:rRNA from 1 species